rnacentral:rRNA from 1 species
GCAGUCGAGCGGAUUGAUGGGAGCUUGCUCCCUGAAAUCAGCGGCGGACGGGUGAGUAACACGUGGGUAACCUGCCUGUAAGACUGGGAUAACUCCGGGAAACCGGGGCUAAUACCGGAUAGUUCUUUUCCUCGCAUGAGGAAAAGUGGAAAGGCGGCUUCGGCUGCCACUUACAGAUGGACCCGCGGCGCAUUAGCUAGUUGGUGAGGUAACGGCUCACCAAGGCAACGAUGCGUAGCCGACCUGAGAGGGUGAUCGGCCACACUGGGACUGAGACACGGCCCAGACUCCUACGGGAGGCAGCAGUAGGGAAUCUUCCGCAAUGGACGAAAGUCUGACGGAGCAACGCCGCGUGAGUGAUGAAGGUUUUCGGAUCGUAAAGCUCUGUUGUUAGGGAAGAACAAGUGCCGUUCGAAUAGGGCGGCACCUUGACGGUACCUAACCAGAAAGCCACGGCUAACUACGUGCCAGCAGCCGCGGUAAUACGUAGGUGGCAAGCGUUGUCCGGAAUUAUUGNGCGUAAAGCGCGCGCAGGCGGUCUCUUAAGUCUGAUGUGAAAGCCCACGGCUCAACC